rnacentral:lncRNA from 1 species
UUGGGAGUUCAUUACAAUAGCAUUACAAAUGCUCGAAAUUACAAAACAAUACAAACACUCAAUACACUCAAAAUUAGGAGUCAUCGCCUUCUCUUGGGUUGAUACUACCUUUUUCGGGUAUUAUACCUUCUGGGCUUCUCAACCAUAGGUUGUGUGGACGGGGGUCAUGUCUUCUGUAGCACGACUACUUUCACCCACCACACCACUUCUCGGCUCGUCAUGUGCCCCUUCUUCAUUAAUUUGACGUUGUAAAUGUUUCAUCUUGGUUUCUAUUUCAUCCAUGUCCACAUGCAUAAACUUAGACAUCAUUUCACAUGUGUUGCUAACAUAAUUAUAAACUCCAGGAUACUACUUCUAAGUGCACAUGCCUUUGCCAUAGUUAGCAAUUUGGAGACUAUCAAUAAAUCGGCUUACCAAAAAAUCGGAAAGAAAUCAUUUUUAUUUUAAAAAGUCAGAUGAAAAAAUUAGUUAAAAAAAU